GGAAAUUUUUGUAAUCAAUAUUACAGAAAACUCAGCCUCUGCCAAUUUGGCCUGUUAAAUCAAUGUCCUCAAUUUAAGCAUGAGCUUUGAUCAUGCCCCCUCUUUCCCACACUUUUUGCUUAUCUUUUUAAAUUUGAUAAUUAUGCUUGAUUUGUAGACAAGUAGAGAAAUAGACCCUUAUAAUUGGUAUUUGGGACUAAGGCUUGUUGAGAGUGCCCAAUUUUUAUUGCACACUUGGUUUGUCAUUUGUAAAUGAUAGAUAUAAAAUAGUUAAUAUGCAUCAAAUUUAUGAAUAUUUGGAAGAUUUUUUCAUCUGAAUAUUUAGAUGAUUCGUCUUGAUGAUAAAAAUGUAACGUCUACACAAGCAAUAACACCCUCUUCAGUAUUGGUUUAGGUUGUUCAUCUUGCUAUUUUUGGAGCUUGAUAUAAUUCCACCAUUUAAUUGGAAAAAGAUGUAUUAUAAUUCUACAUUGCAAUCUGAAAGAAAUUGCUUGAAGCUGAUUUUUUUGGGUAUAAUGGUUGAUGUGAUCUGGCUUCAUUCAAUGACUACCCAUGGCAGGACCAAGUUAUAAUGCCCUUCUACAUUGGUUCCCUACAGUAAUUGCAAAAAAGUACUCAUCUUGGAAGAAAAAGUACUUGUCUAAAUAGGAAUAUGUAGUUGAACACAGUUCUCAUUCAUAUGUAUUUGGUUUUUUUAUUUUUAUUUUUUGUUUUUUUGUCACAGUCCCACCUGAUCCUUUUGGACCAAUUCUAGUAGAGAAUGACCCAGACAGAAAUCAGGGUGUGUUGGUGGGUGAAACUUAGCAGGAUCGAAUGGAAUGCAGACAAUGGGGAGCUCACCUUCCCCAUGUUGCAGGGAUUCCUGGGCAAGCAGAUUAUGGGGCUCAGUCUGUAGCACUCUCUGGAGGCUAUGAAGAUGAUGAGGAUCACAGUGAAUGGUUCCCAUACACAGGAAGUGGUGGAAGAGACCUCAGUGGAAACAAAAGGAUGAACAAGACAUAGUCAUUUGAUCAGAAGUUUGAUAAAAUGAAUGAGGCAUUACAGGUCAAUUGCCGAAAAGGUUAUCUCGUCCGAGUUGUGAGGCCAGAUAUUACUGAUUUGGAAAAAUAGCUUGCAACCUCGUCCCUGUGAUAGAAGCAAGUGGAUUUGUUACAGCUGCAUCUGCAACAGCUAUAGAAAUUGUUGUCGGUAGUUUUAGAUAAUCUCUUAAUAGUUAUCGAUAUGUUUAGAAAGUUAGAUAUGCAUAAUUUUAAAUGGUUUAAACUUUUUGUACAGUUUAGAACUUAAGGAUAUAGUUUUCAAAUG